AAUCAACGCUGGCGGCGUGCCUCAGACAUGCAAGUCGAACGAUUAAAGCUCUCUUCGGAGAGUGUAUAGAGUGGCGCACGGGUGAGUAACACGUAAGUAAUCUACCCUCGAGUGGGGAAUAACGUUCGGAAACGAACGCUAAUACCGCAUAAUGCAGCGGCACCGCAAGGUGACAGUUGUUAAAGGAGCAAUUCGCUUGAGGAGGAGCUUGCGGCAGAUAGCUUGUUGGUAAGGUAACGGCUUACCAAGGCUACGAUCUGUAUCCGGUCUUAGAGGACGGUCGGACACACUGACACUGAAUAACGGGUCAGACUCCUACGGGAGGCAGCAGUCGGGAAUUUUGGGCAAUGGGCGAAAGCCUGACCCAGCAACGCCGCGUGAGGGAUGACGG
rnacentral:rRNA from 1 species